rnacentral:rRNA from 1 species
GGGUGCGAUCAUACCAGCACUAAUGCACCGGAUCCCAUCAGAACUCCGAAGUUAAAGCGUGCUUGGGCGAGAGUAGUACUAGGAUGGGUGACCCCCUGGGAAGUCCUCGUGUUGCACCCC